rnacentral:lncRNA from 1 species
GUCCUACAUGCACACUCAUGGGGCAGCAUUCUGGGUGGUGAGUUCUUUUCCUAGCAUUGUGAGCACUUGUCACUCCGUAUGUUGGUUACGGUCUUGUGAAGGGUUCCUGGACUAGAUCCAUGAAAAUACCCUGGGUGGCACCCAACAGGGCUAUGUGGUACAUGAGGGCAGUGUCUGGGGCCACUUGUCUGCUCACACUGUAAUGCAUAUGUGUCUUACUCUUCAUCAGGCCAGGUCACACUGUGUUUGAAAGUCCACUAGAAGCAGCCUAACUGAUCAAUUAUGAAAUGGAAUGAUCAGGGGUUUUUUAAUAUUUAUUUUUUAGUUGUAGGUGGACACAAUAUCUUUAUUUUAUUUUUAUGUGGUGCCGAGGAUUGAAACCAGUGCCUCAUGCAUGCUAGGCAAGCACUCUACCACUUGAACCACAACCCCAGCCCCAACGGGAUGAUCAGGUUUUAAUUCAUAACUGCAACUUUUUUUAAAAGUUAGGAGUCAGUAAUUUGUUUCACUAGAAUGGAGAUAAGAUGUAAACAAUUUUAUC